rnacentral:rRNA from 1 species
AAMCSGRAGGAAGGUGGGGRAUGACGUCAAAUCAUCAUGCCCCUUAUGACCUGGGCUACACACGUGCUACAAUGGAUGGUACAACGAGCAGCAAGACCGCGAGGUCAAGCGAAUCUCUUAAAGCCAAUUCUCAGUUCGGAUUGCAGGCUGCAACUCGCCUGCAUGAAGCCGGGAAUCGCUAGUAAUCGCGGAUCAGCACGCCGCGGUGAAUACGUUCCCGGGUCUUGUACACACCGCCCGUCACACCACGAGAGUUUGUAACACCCGAAGUCGGUGAGGUAACCUUUUUGGAGCCAGCCGCCUAAGGUGGGACAGAUGAUUGGGGUGAAGUCGUAACAAGGUAACCAAGCC